ACAAUGCACGAGCCAGCGCCCGACACCACCUCAUCCCCUCCUGCAGGGAGGGUCAAGUUUGAAACCUUUUACUGUUGACCAUUUUUCCUCCCUGCCAGAACACUCAUUCCAGAGAGGCGCGGCCUUGGGAGCUCUGCUCUUAACUGCAUGCCCAGCAGCCAUCCCAGGGCCCAGCACAGAGUAGGUGCUUCAAAAGUCAGUGUGAAAUGACUCAGUGAAAAGCAGGCAGUGGUCACAGUAACAUGAAGACCUUGGUUUAAUGAGGCACGUCGACGUGUGUCCACGGCAGGCAGGAGACGGGCAGAGAAGACCCUGUCGGCCCACUCUCUCCGCUUGGCCCUCCUCUUGGCGUGAAGAUGAGGAAGGAGCAGCAGCAUUUGAGAAGCCAGCUCCUCCUCCUCCCCUGGCCUCCCGGAGCAGCGGUCCACUAAGUGUUGCGCUUGGCCAGAGCUCCCCGCCGUAAUUUGGUUAAUUGGAUGAACAGGCACUUCAGUGACACAGACUGAAUUUCCACACUGCAGUCCAUCAAAACUAAUCAGUUGGCUGCGCUCCAUUUCUUAGCAACUGACAGUUUCGCCAGGACGUAGUGAAGCCUCCGUGACCAGACAUGGUACACAGCCUUCAUGCCACGAGCUAUCCUGGGUGCUGAGAAGGAAGGGCCCAGUAGGCUCAUCUACAAGGAGCCAUGGGAGAUGGACAAUCCAAGCCCAGAGGACCAUGGAUCAGGACUCCCGGGUUCCCAGGAGUGAGAAAUCUUAGGAUGAGAGAGAUGGCACUGAGUCAGAGCAGCUUAGCAUGAAACAAAGAAAAAACACCUUCUAAAAAUCAUAUUCAGCAUCUACACGGGAGAGAGAGGUAGGAAAGGAGGCAAGCAACUUGGACCACGUGACCUGAAUGCACUGGCCCGUGCAGAACCUGGCCGCAAGAACCCUUGCACAAGAAGAACCAAGGUCAAGGUGACUAUGGGUCAUAAAAUCCCUGUGUGGGACGCUGGACUCAAAGUGGGUCCUUCCUGGGCCUCAGCUUUAGGUCUACAGAGCUCCCAUCCACCCUUGGCGUGGGGUGGGGGCAGAUCCCCAGAGACAACUCUUUAAAAACCCACCAGUUAAUUGAGCUUCCUCCUUGGCCUCGGCCUCUGCCUUCUUUGUCCCCCUUCCUCCGGGCUCUUUGUGCCCCUGGCCUGGCAUUUAGGACCUUUUGUUGGCUUAAUAGAGACUGAAACCUG